UCAUGGCUCAGAUUGAACGCUGGCGGCAGGCCUAACACAUGCAAGUCGAACGGUAGAGGGGGCAACCCUUGAGAGUGGCGAACGGGUAGAGUAAUAUAUCGGAACGUGCCAGUCGUGGGGGAUAACGUAGCGAAAGUUACGCUAAUACCGCAUACGAUCUGAGGAUGAAAGCGGGGGAUCGCAAGACCUCGCGCGAUUGGAGCGGCCGAUAUCAGAUUAGGUAGUUGGUGAGGUAAAGGCUCACCAAGCCGACGAUCUGUAGCUGGUCUGAGAGGACGACCAGCCACACUGGGACUGAGACACGGCCCAGACUCCUACGGGAGGCAGCAGUGGGGAAUUUUGGACAAUGGGCGCAAGCCUGAUCCAGCAAUGCCGCGUGAGUGAUGAAGGCCUUCGGGUCGUAAAGCUCUUUUACCAGGGAUGAUAAUGACAGUACCUGGAGAAUAAGCUCCGGCUAACUCCGUG
rnacentral:rRNA from 1 species